AUGAGGCAUCAUGGGUACAAUAGCUGCCCUAUGGUGGGUUUUGUUGUGUUUGACAGGGUGUCACCAGGUCACUAGGUUCACCGUCCUCAAAGAAAAACUUCCGGACUUAUUCAAAAUUGCUUCCUAGUUUGCAGCAUCAUUUGAUCAACACUGCUCCACCAGACUGAAUGUUUUCAUUCAAAAGACUUCAAGAAACACUGCCUGUCAUUCUCCAUCAUCACUGGUCAAUCACAUGUCAACAUCAUCACAGCAAGAUACACAGGAUUAAACCAAGAUGGACACAAGUCUUUGAUGUUUGUGAAGCUAAUCAAUAAUACAAUGUCCUUCUGAUCACAGAGAAUGCUUGUCCAUUCACAGACACAUCUUCGUUAUCUGGCUUCCUGAAGAUUACUGCUGUCUCUGAUGAACUCCGAGUUCGGUACAUGUAACGAGGAUCUAUCCUUCAAUUAGCAGCCUGUCUAUUUUCUACAAAUCGUGUGACUAUCGAAGUCUAGAAUAUCUUCAAGAGUGAUGAUGACUAUUUGCUCUGGCAGCAAGACAAACCUAAGUGCAGCGUCUGGUUCCACAGAAUAUCUGCGUUGGCAGGUCUAUGGCAGGAGACAGCUCUGUGAUGGACGCCUUGGUAAAAAUUCUGAUUAUGCACCAACAUGUGGCAGAAAAUGGCCGAUGAUGCAUAACAUCCUGGUACAAAAAGAUAGACAACUCCGCAGUCAAACAGAAUCAGCAUAAACAAGCUGCCACACUGAAAACUCCGUCACCCAGUCCAUUGUUUGUUGUUUGUUUGUUUGUUUGUUGGUUAAUGCCGCACUCAGCAAUAUUCCAGUUAUAUGACGGCUUCCAGCCCAUUGAAGACAGUUUUUGUGUACUAGUCCUUAGGAUGAUAACAUAUAGAAAAACCCUUAAAAAGGGCAAUUUUCUACAAGUCCUUAUGAUUGUUUAACAAUGGGUAAGUUUGGCAAGGACUAUAGGACUAGUGCCAAUUUCUAACGCUGACAUGCUGCCACACUGAAAACUCUGUCUUCCAGUCCAUUGAAAACACAUUCAUUAGGUUUCAAAUAUAUACAGAAACACAAUCAUUUGUUUCUAGAAUAAACAGAAACACAUCA